UACGUAGGCAGCAAGCGUUUAUCCGGAUUCACUGGGUUUAAAGGGUGCGUAGGUGGGCAAGUAAGUCAGUGGUGAAAUCUCCGGGCUUAACCCGGAAACUGCCAUUGAUACUAUUUGUCUUGAAUACUGUGGAGGUCAGCGGAAUAUGUCAUGUAGCGGUGAAAUGCUUAGAUAUGACAUAGAACACCAAUUUGCGAAGGCAGCUCACUACGGAUAUAUUGACACUGAGGCACGAAAAGCGUGGGGAUCAAACAGG
rnacentral:rRNA from 1 species